rnacentral:misc_RNA from 1 species
GGUUUUGAUGCUCAGGAACAUGGUAUGUAUGCAUUCUGUAUUAUUUGGUGUGCAGGUGUUUGAAAACCAUCCAGAAUUACUGCUUGUGGUCCUAUGAAAACCCAUCUUUACUCAACUUAUCUAAAUGGUUGCAACUAGGAUAUCCGACUAACAUUUAGUUAUUCUGAAAAGUAAUUUCUGUUAUUUCUGAAAUACGCAAGGAAUAAUAUGCACGUUAAAAGGAAACUUUAACGAAAUGAAACUAAUUCAAGUUUAGUAAUAGUUUUUGCAGUUUCUAGUGCCUCGUCAAUCUGUUUCAUUUAUUUGUGUUAAUUUUCUUCUUUAGUAGGCACCAAAGUCUGUCCAAUAAUUAAAUCAACAGUCGCUAUUGUUGCUGCAAUACUAGGAGGUUCACUGAUGUCAGGCAUAGUUUUCAUCUGGUAAACAUUAGGGACUUGACUAACUUCUUUUUGUGUUUCUGUAGCCUAAGUAGCCAGGUGAUCGAUAAAGGUGGUGAGGGGGAGGGGGAGGAAGUGGUUGAAUUUGGGACAGCACAAGAGUGUGAUACAUUUAGCUAUUUAAGUGAAUUGAUAAUUCAGUGAGUAAUGAUGUGUCUGUCAUAGUGUAGUCAUAAGCGCAAAAAGCACUAACUAAAGCAUAGCUACAAAUAGGAAAGCGCAUUUAGUGAAGCAAGGGCUUUUUGUGCUUAAAGCGCUGAGCACAAAGAGCCUCAAAUUCAAGGCCAACAUUGGAAGAUACUGAGACUGAUUUAGAUGAAGAUUU